rnacentral:rRNA from 1 species
UACGUAGGGUGCGAGCGUUGUCCGGAAUUACUGGGCGUAAAGAGCUUGUAGGAGGUAUGUCGAGUUGUUCGUGAAAUCUCACGGCUCAACUGUGAGCGUGCGGGCGAUACGGGCAGACUAGAGUACUGCAGGGGAGACUGGAAUUCCUGGUGUAGCGGUGGAAUGCGCAGAUAUCAGGAGGAACACCGGUGGCGAAGGCGGGUCUCUGGGCAGUAACUGACGCUGAGAAGCGAAAGCGUGGGGAGCGAACAGG